rnacentral:rRNA from 1 species
AGGACGAACGCUGGCGGCGUGCUUAACACAUGCAAGUCGAGCGGAAAGGCCCUUCGGGGUACUCGAGCGGCGAACGGGUGAGUAACACGUGAGUAAUCUGCCCUUAGCUCUGGGAUAGCUCCGGGAAACCGGGAUUAAUACCAGAUACGACCACUCUAGACAUCUUCUGUGGUGAAAGAAUUUCGGCUGGGGAUGAACUCGCGGCCUAUCAGCUUGUUGGUGAGGUAACGCUCACCAAGGCGACGACGGGUA